rnacentral:rRNA from 1 species
CCUACGGGUGGCAGCAGUGGGGAAUAUUGGGCAAUGGGCGCAAGCCUGACCCAGCAACGCCGCGUGAAGGAAGAAGGCUCUCGGGGUGUAAACUUCUUUUCGCAGGGACGUAAAAAGUGACGGUACCUGAGGGAUAAGCCACGGCUAACUACGUGCCAGCAGCAGCGGUAAUACGUAGGUGGCAGGCGUUAUCCGGAUUUAUUGGGUGUAAAGGGCGUGUAGGUGGGAGCGUAAGGUAGAUGUGAAAACUCCGGGCUGAAACCUGAGCCUGGAUUUGAAACUGUGUUGCUUGAGUGCUGGAGCGGUAGUCGGAAUGUCGUGUGUAGCGGUGAAAUGCAUAGAGAUA